rnacentral:rRNA from 1 species
GGGGAUCGAAAGACCUCAUGCUUUUGGAGCGGCCGAUGUCUGAUUAGCUAGUUGGUGGGGUAAUGGCCUACCAAGGCGACGAUCAGUAGUUGGUCUGAGAGGAUGGCCAGCCACACUGGGACUGAGACACGGCCCAGACUCCUACGGGAGGCAGCAGUGGGGAAUUUUGGACAAUGGGCGCAAGCCUGAUCCAGCAAUGCCGCGUGAGUGAAGAAGGCCUUCGGGUUGUAAAGCUCUUUCAGUUGAGAAGAAAAAAUUGUGACUAAUAAUCGCAAUUCAUGACAGUAUCAACAGAAGAAGCACCGGCUAACUACGUGCCAGCAGCCGCGGUAAUACGUAGGGUGCAAGCGUUAAUCGGAAUUAUUGGGCGUAAAGGGUGCGCAGGCGGUUUUGUAAGUCAGAUGUGAAAUCCCCGGGCUUAACCUGGGAAUUGCGUUUGAAA